GCAGAGGUGAAGAUACGCAGGACGUCCUCUAAAGCAACUUCCGUGGGUGCCAGGUUGUGGGCUGGGGGCGGUGCUGACCUUGAGAGAGCGGAGGAGGCGCAGGCGCAGCACAGUUUAAACUUGAUUUUGUGAGGGGACGAACAGCGUGACAAUUAAAAGAAGAUCUGGGAAUCAAAAGCUUCCUGAGGCCUUCACCAGAAGCAGAUGCUGGUGCCGUGCUUCUACAGCCUGCAGAACUGAAGGACUUUACAGCUUCUCUUUCGCAUAUCCAAAUUGCCAGCAUCACCGCUCUUGCACUCCAAGCCAUUAUUAAGUAAAGUAAAGAACACAAACACUGUGAUACUGCUACACUUGAUCUGAUAACCAAGAAGUCUACUAAGUGACUAACAGAAGAGAAGACAUGGAGAAGAGGAGGGAGUAGUUGUGACCGUGGAGGCAGAGAAUGGAGUAAUGUGAUCAUAAAUCAAGGAAUGCUGACAGCCACUAAAGCUGGAGAAGGCCAAGGACAGAUAUUCAAUCCUCCCGUAGAAGUACAGCCCUGCUAAUGCAUUGAUUUUGGACUUCUGGCCUCAGAACUAUUUAUAUAUCAGCUUUUUAUCAGUUGAAAUAAACCACCCUGGGCCGGGUGCAGUGGCUCACACCUGUAAUCCCAGCACUUUGGGAGGCCGAGGCAGGUAGAUCAUUUGAGGUCAGGAGUUCAAGGCCAGCCUGACCAACAUGGUGAAACCGCAUCUCUACUAAAAAAUACAAAAAUUAGCCCGGUGUUGUGGCAGGCGCUUGCAAUCCCAGCUACUCAGGAGGCUGAGGCACAAGAAUUCCUUGAACCUGGGAGGUGGAGGUUGCAGUGAGUCGAAACCAAGCCACUGCCCUCCAGUCUGGGCAACAGAUUGAGAGUCUGUCUCGAAAAAAAUAAAUACAUAAAAUAAAUAAGCCACACUGUACUUGUGAAGAUUAACUGAGAUGUUUAAAACAUUAUUUGCAAAAAUGCAAGACAUGAUGUAAGUGUAAAGCAUUAUUAUAUAUCAACAUAAUUGACCAUUAGAAAAAUGCAAAUUAACACCUCAAUGAGAUAUAUCACCAGACACCUGUUAGAAUGGUUAAAAUAAAAAGUACUGAUGAUAUUAAGUGCUGAUAAAAUGCAGAGUAACUCGAUCUCUCAUACAUUGCUGAUGCUAAUGUAAAAUGAUAUCACCACUCUAGAAAACAGUUUGGCAGUUUCUUAUAAAGUUAAACAUGCACUUACUAUACAACCCAGUAAUACACCUACUGGAUAUUCAUUCUAGGGAGAUCAAAAUUUACACCCAAAAACAUGUACAUAAAUGUUCAUAUCAGCUUUAUUUACAAUAGCCCAAAAGGAAACAAUCAGAUGUCCUCCAAUUGAUAACUGGUAUAACCCUAUCACAGAAUCCUACUGAGCAAUAAAAAGGAAAGCACUGUUGAUACAUACAACAACUUGAGUGCAUUUCAAGGCUGUUAUGCUGACUGAAAUAAAAGCUAAUCUCAAAAGGUUAUGUAUUAUGUGAUUCUGUUUAUAUAACAUUCUCAAAUUGCAAAAUCACAGCAAUGAAGAACUGAUCAGUAGUGCCAGGGGUUAGGGUUGUGGGGAGGGUGUGAUGAUGAAUGGGCAGCGUAAGAGAAUUUCUUUGGAGUGAUGGAAUAGUUUUAUAUCUUGAUUAUAGUGAUCAUUAUAUUAAACAAUUGCAUGUGAUAAAAUUCUAUAGGACUGUAUGCCAAAAAUAACUUAAUAUGUUUAUUUUUAAGGUCUGGAAAGCAUGGAAAUUUGUAUCUUCAUUCACUUUUGUUUUCAUGGACUCUUUUCAUGUUUGAACUUUUCAUGGUAUGAGCUGUUUUAUAAUCUAUAAUAUGGAAUGUUUCUCAUACGAAUGUUUUUCUUAUUGAAGAAUGCCAUAGAAAUAAGGGUGUGAGGUAUACUUACUUGACAGGAGAAUUUUACUCCUUUUAUUUUAUUUACUUAUUUAUUUUUAAGACGGAGUCCUGCUGUGUUGUCCAGGCUGGUCUUGAACCCCUGGACUCAAACGAUCUUUCUCCUUGGCCUCCCAAAGUUCUGGGAUUACAGGUAUGAGCUACAGUGCCCUGAGAGUCCUUUUUAAAGUAGUGAAUGCUCAAACAUGGAAUUAAAUUUAGGCAAAGCUCACUUUUAUUUAUACAUAAAACAACUUCAGCCAUGUACCUCAUAACGAUAUUUUGGCCAAUGUCUGACCUUAUAUACAAUGGUUGUCCUGUACGAUUAUAAUGAAGCUGAAAAUUUUCUAUUGCCUAGUAACAUUGUAGUAAUUGUAAUGUAGCACAACCUAUCACACGUGUUUGUAGUGAUGCUGGUGUAAACAAACCGACUGCAUUGCCAGUCUAGUAUAAAAGUCUAGCACACACAAUUAUCCACAGUAUAUAAUAGUUGAUAAUGAUAAUAAACAACUGUCACUGGCUUAUAUAUUUGCUAUACUAUACUUUUUAUCAUUAUUUUAGAGUAUAUUUAGAGUAUAUUAAGCAGCCUUAGGCAGGUCUUUCAGGAGGCAUUCCAGAAGAAGGCAUUGUUAUCAUAGGAGGUGACAGCUCCCUGUGUGUUGUUGCCCCUGAAGAACUUCCAGUGGGACAAGAUAUGGUGGUGAAAGACAGUGAUAUUGAUGAUCUUGACCCUGUGUAGGCUUAGGCUCAUGUGUUUGUGUCUUCAUUCUUUUUUUUUUUUUGAGAUGGGGUCUCGCACUGUUGCCCAGGCUGGAGUGCAGUGGCGCGACCUUGGCUCACUGCAAGCUCCGCCUCCUGGGUUGAUGCCAUUCUCCUGCCUCAGCCUCCCAAGUAGCUGGGACUACAGGUGCCCACCACUACGCCUGACUAAUUUUUUGUACUUUUAGUAGAGACGGGGUUUCACCAUGUUAGCCAGGAUGGUCUUGAUCUCCUGACCUCGUGAUCCGCCCGCCUCGGCCUCCCAAAGUGCUGGGAUUACAGUAUUUAAGACAUUUUUAUAAAUUAAAAAUUUUUUAAAUAGAAAAAAGCCUAUAGCAUAAGGAUAUAAAGAAAAAGUAUUUUUAUGCAGCUGCACAAUGUAUUUGUGUUUUAAACUGUGUUAUUAUGCAAGAGUUACAGAGUUUUUAAAAAUAAAAAGUUUAUAAAGUAAAAAACUUACAACACAUCAAAAGAUAAUACACCAUGAUCAAGUGGGCUUUAUCCCAGGGAUGCAAGCAUAGUUCAACAUAUGCAAAUUAAUAAGUGAUAUCAACAGAAUGAAGGACAAAAGCUUUAUGAUCAUCUUAACAGAUACAGAAAAGCAUUUGAUAAAAUUUAACUUCCUUCAUGAUAAAAACUCUCGAAGGAACAUACCUCAGCAUAUUAAGGGCCAUAUAUGGUUAACCCAGAGCUAAAAUCAUACUGAACAGGGAAAAGCUGAAAGCCUUCCUGCAAAGAACUGGAACAAGACAAGGAUGACCACUUGCACCACUCUUAUUCAACAUGGUACUGGAAGUCCUAGCCAGAGCAAUCAGGCAAGAGAAAGAAUUAAAAGACAUCCAGUUGGAAAAAAGGAGGUCAUAUAUUUUCUCUGCAGACAACAUAAUCUUAUAUCUAGAAAAACCUGAAGACUCCACCAAAAAGGGUGAGCAUGGUGACUCAUGCCUGUAAUCUCAGCACUUUGAGAGGCUGAGGCAGGAGGAUCACUUGAGCCCAGGGGUUCAAGACCAGCCUGGACAACAUAGUGAGACCCCAAUCUCUAAAAAAAGUUAAAAACUUUAGCCAGGUGUGGUGGCACAUGCCUGUUGUCCUAGCUGCUUGUGAGCCUGGGGUGGGAGGAUCACUUGAGCCCUGGAGUUUAAGGCUGCAGUGAGCAAUGAUCAUGCCACUGCACUGUAGCCUGGGUUGUGACAGCGCAAGACACUGUUAAUAAACAAGACAAAACAGACUCCAUCAAAAAGCUCUUAGAGCUGAUAAACAAAUUCAGUAAAGUUUCAGGAUCCAAAACCAACAUGCAAAAAUCAGUAGUGUUUCUAUACGCCAAUAACAAACAAGCUGAAAAAUACAUUAAGAAAGCAAUUC
rnacentral:lncRNA from 1 species